GGGUGGGAGAGGGAGCGAGAGCAGCUGCCAGUGCUCAGCAUGUCCCCCUGAACUCUGCAGCAGCCGCUAGUCUGUGAGGCGGGUAGUUGUGUGCAGUCUGACAUGGCAGAAUUUAAAGACGCCCACUUUUAAACAUUCAGCUGCACGGCAAUACCCGCUGACUGAUCCCGCUAACGGCCCUUCACAGCCACGAUCUACUACGGCCUGACGAACGCCGGGCGCUCCAGCCGGCGGCUUUCUGCAGGAGCACUGAUACCGAUCCCCGUGCUGUGCUGCAAACGUCCGGUACUCCGCUCACCCGCACAGAGUGAAUGCUGCUGGCCUCCGCAGAGAGGUCUAACACCCGUGACGAGGAAGCGAGCUUUGGAGUCCUAUAUACAGUGUGUGCAGUCUGACAUGGCAGAAUUUAAAGACGCCCACUUUUAAACAUUCAGCUGCACGGCAAUACCCGCUGACUGAUCCCGCUAACGGCCCUUCACAGCCACGAUCUACUACGGCCUGACGAACGCCGGGCGCUCCAGCCGGCGGCUUUCUGCAGGAGCACUGAUACCGAUCCCCGUGCUGUGCUGCAAACGUCCGGUACUCCGCUCACCCGCACAGAGUGAAUGCUGCUGGCCUCCGCAGAGAGGUCUAACACCCGUGACGAGGAAGCGAGCUUUGGAGUCCUAUAUACAGUGUGUGCAGUCUGACAUGGCAGAAUUUAAAGACGCCCACUUUUAAACAUUCAGCUGCACGGCAAUACCCGCUGACUGAUCCCGCUAAAGGCCCUUCACAGCCACGAUCUACUACGGCCUGACGAACGCCGGGCGCUCCAGCCGGCGGCUUUCUGCAGGAGCACUGAUACCGAUCCCCGUGCUGUGCUGCAAACGUCCGGUACUCCGCUCACCCGCACAGAGUGAAUGCUGCUGGCCUCCGCAGAGAGGUCUAACACCCGUGACGAGGAAGCGAGCUUUGGAGUCCUAUAUACAGUGUGUGCAGUCUGACAUGGCAGAAUUUAAAGACGCCCACUUUUAAACAUUCAGCUGCACGGCAAUACCCGCUGACUGAUCCCGCUAACGGCCCUUCACAGCCACGAUCUACUACGGCCUGACGAACGCCGGGCGCUCCAGCCGGCGGCUUUCUGCAGGAGCACUGAUACCGAUCCCCGUGCUGUGCUGCAAACGUCCGGUACUCCGCUCACCCGCACAGAGUGAAUGCUGCUGGCCUCCGCAGAGAGGUCUAACACCCGUGACGAGGAAGCGAGCUUUGGAGUCCUAUAUACAGGUCUAUAAAAGUUUUCAAAUACCGGGAUCAUAGCCGUAACCAAUACACGGCAUCUUUCAAAUCAAUUGAUUUUAUUUUUUCAACUUUACCCGUAUAUGUGUAUUUACAACUAUAUGGACCCUGUUCAUUUAAUUUCUCAGGAACCAACACAUGGGUAAUUAUCUGUCAAUAUAUAUUUAAACAUUUUUUCACUAAUAACAAGGCUGUGAUUAGUCUUUGCGGGACAUUUUUACUAAACACUGGGACGCCAGUGUAAUUGUAAUCUAUAUGGUACUAUAAAGAAAGAAUUCUUAUCAUAUUGUAUGCUAUAUUAAUUGUAAUUGUAUUUUACUAAUUGUUAUGAGAGCAUAUACUGCUUGUGUUGUUUGAAAAAUGUUACUUUUAACAAUUAUUAGAUAAAGA